AUCAACUUUCGAUGGUAGGAUAGAGGCCUACCACGGUGGUAACGGGUAACGGGGUGUUAGGGCACGACACCGGAGAGGGAGCCUGAGAAACGGCUACCACAUCCAAGGAUGGCAGCAGGCGCGCAAAUUACCCAAUCCCGACACGGGGAGGUAGUGACAAUAAAUAACAAUACGGGGUUCUUUCGGAUCUCGUAAUUGGAAUGAGUACAAUUUAAAUCUCUUAACGAGGAACAAUUGGAGGGCAAGUCUGGUGCCAGCAGCCGCGGUAAUUCCAGCUCCAAUAGCGUAUAUUAAAGUUGUUGCAGUUAAAAAGCUCGUAGUUGAAUUUCGGGAUCAGAUUGUCGGUCGUGCCUCGGUACGCACUGGCAUUAUUGGUUCCUACCUUCUGAAGAACCGCGAUGUCAUUAAUUUGGUGUCGUGAGGAAUCAGGACUGUUACUUUGAAAAAAUUAGAGUGUUUAAAGCAGGCGCACGCUUGAAUACAUUAGCAUGGAAUAAUGAAAUAGGACGUUUGAUUCUAUUUUGUUGGUUUCUAGGAUCGACGUAAUGAUUAAUAGGGAUAGUUGGGGGCAUUAGUAUUCAAUUGUCAGAGGUGAAAUUCUUGGAUUUAUUGAAGACUAACUACUGCGAAAGCAUUUGCCAAGGAUGUUUUCAUUAAUCAAGAACGAAAGUUAGGGGAUCGAAGACGAUCAGAUACCGUCGUAGUCUUAACCAUAAACUAUGCCGACUAGGGAUCGGAUGAUGUUAAUUUUAUAAUGACUCAUUCGGCGCCUUACGGGAAACCAAAGUGUUUGGGUUC
rnacentral:rRNA from 1 species